rnacentral:misc_RNA from 1 species
GGUGUUAAAAGUAUAUUCGCCUGAUGAAGCACCAGCGGCGUCACGUUCAUCGUCCGAUGAGUUGCUUUCCUCCACUUCCUCUACCUGUAAUUCCUCAAAUUCAAGCUCUCGAAUCUGCUCCAUCUGGUAUCUCUCUGCUUCGAGAAUUCCUUGGUCAUCCAUUUGCUGAAACUGAGUUUGUGUAUUUUUUGCUUUCCGCUUGUACCCACCACUGAGAUCGGCUCCGGCUCCGCGGCGAGUUUCCAGAAAAUUAUUCAAUUACCAUUUACCUGUCAGUCU